rnacentral:rRNA from 1 species
UAAGCGGAGGAAAAGAAACUAACAAGGAUUCCCCUAGUAACUGCGAGUGAAGCGGGAAAAGCUCAAAUUUAAAAUCUGGCGGUCUUUGGCCGUCCGAGUUGUAAUUUAGAGAAGCGUCUUCCGCGCCGGACCGUGCACAAGUCUCCUGGAAUGGAGCGUCAUAGAGGGUGAGAAUCCCGUCUUUGGCACGGAUGCCCGGUGCUUCUGUGAUGCGCUCUCGAAGAGUCGAGUUGUUUGGGAAUGCAGCUCAAAAUGGGUGGUGAACUCCAUCUAAAGCUAAAUAUUGGCGAGAGACCGAUAGCGAACAAGUACCGUGAGGGAAAGAUGAAAAGCACUUUGGAAAGAGAGUGAAACAGUACGUGAAAUUGUUGAAAGGGAAACGCUUGAAGUCAGUCGCGUCGACCGAGACUCAGCCUUGCCUUGGCUUGGUGUACUUCUCGGCCCGACGGGUCAGCGUCGAUUUCGCUCCUCGGAUAAUGGCAAGGGAAAGGUGGCACCUUUACGGGUGUGUUAUAGUCUCCUGUCGCAUGCGAGGGGUGGGAUCGAGGAACUCAGCGCGCACCUUGGUGUCGGGGCUUCUGCCCACGUCACGCGCUUAGGAUGCUGGCGUAAUGGCUUUAAACGACC